GACGAACCGUCCAAACGUUAUUCGGAAUUAUUGGGCUUAAAGGAUGCGUAGGCUGUGCAGUAAGUUGGGUGUGAAAUCCCUCGGCUCAACCGAGGAACUGCGCCGAAUACUGCUGUGCUAGAGGAAGAUAGGGGUAAGCGGAACUGAUGGUGGAGCGGUGAAAUGCGUAGAUAUCGGAAGGAACACCGGUGGCGAAAGCGGCGCGCUGGAUCCCUUCUGACGCUGAGGCGCGAAAGCCAGGGGAGCGAACGGG
rnacentral:rRNA from 1 species